CGAGAAAAGAUUGAUUUUUAUGUUAUUAUAUUCCAAAUCAUAAUUUAAAAUGUUCUAGUGCAGGUCUUUUGGAAAACUAUGCAAAAAAAAAUAAAAAAAAAAAUUCAAGGUCAAUCUUUGCUGCUUCGUUUAGCCAACAUUUGGAACUGUCAACCAAUCAAUCUUUGCUGCUUCAUUUAGCCAACAUUUGGAACUGUCAACCAAUUUAAAUUAGGUUUCAAUCUUUCAGAUUUUCAAAAAACAAGUGAAGUCUUUUUAAUUAUUAUUAUUAUUUUAUAUACUGAUACCAGUAUUCAUUCACCACAAUGACAGAAAUUACAACCACUGGACCGACCACUCCAGGAAGUACAACGAUGGAGACCACAACAACAGAAAGUUCCACACCCAGCACAACAACCACAACAAUAGAAAGUACCACCACAGGCACCACAACUGAGAUCACAACAACAGAAGAAACCACAACUCCAGAAAGUACUACUACAGCUACCACAACGCAAGAAAGCACAUCAACCGAGACCACAACAACAGAAAGCCCUACAACAGAAAGUACCACCACUACCAUUACAACUUCAGAAAGCACCACAACCGACACCACUGCAGACACUACAACACCAGAAAGCACCACUACAGGUACCACAACAACAGAAAGCAUGACCACAGGCACUACAACAGCAGAAAGCACCACUACAGGUACCACAACAACAGAAAUCACAACAACCGAGACCACAACAGAGACCACAACACCAGAAAGCACCACCACAGGUACGACAACAUCAGAAAUCACCACAACCGAGACAACAACAGACACUACAACACCAGAAAGCACCACUACAGGUACCACAGCACCAGAAAACACAACAGCCGAGACAACAACAGAAACUACAACAACAGAAAGCACCACCACAGGUACCACAAAAACCGAGACCACAAAAGACACUACAACACCAGAAAGCACCACUACAGGUACCACAAUAGCUGAGACCACAACAGACACUACAACACCAGAAAGCACCACAACCGAGAUAACAACAGACACUACAACACCAGAAAGCACCACUACAGGUACCACAACAGCAGAAACCACAACAGACACUACAACACCAGAAAGCAUCACAACCGAGAUAACAACAGACACUACAACACCAGAAAGCACCACCACAGGAACCACAAAACAAGAAAGCACCACAACCGAGACAACAACAGACACUACAACAACAGAAACCACCACCACAGGUACCACAACAACCGAGACCACAAAAGACACUACAACACCAGAAAGCACCACUACAGGUACCACAAUAGCAGAGACCACAACAGACACUACAACACCAGAAAGCACCACAACCGAGAUAACAACAGACACUACAACACCAGAAAGCACCACAACCGAGACAACAACAGACACUACAACACCAGAAAGUACCACUACAGGUACCAUAACACCAGAAAGCACAACAACCGAGACCACAACAGGGAUCACAACAACAGAAAGCACCACCAGAGGUACCACAACACCAGAAAGUGCCACUACAGGUACCACAACACCUGAAAGCACCACAACCGAGACCACAACAGACACUACAACACCAGAAAGCAAUACCACAGGUACUACAACACCGAAAAGCACAACAACCGAGACCACAACAACAGAAAGCACCACAACGGAGAUCACAACAACAGAAGAAACCACAACUCCAGAAAGUACUACUACAGCUACCACAACACCAGAAAGCACAACAACCGAAACCACAACAACAGAAAGCACUACAACAGAAAGUACCACCACUGCUAUAACAACUUCAGAAAGCACCACAACCGAGACCACUACAGACACUACAACACCAGAAAGCACCACCACAGGUACCACAACAGCUGAGAAAACAACAGACACUAUAACAACAGAAAGCACCACCACAGGUACCACAACAACAGAAAGAGCAACAACCAAGAGCACAACAGACACUACAACAACAGAAAGCACCACCACAGGUACCACAACACCAGAAAGCACCACAACCGAGACCAAAACAGACACUACAAUGCCAGAAAGUACCACUACAGGUACCACAACACCAGAAAGCACAACAACCGAGACCACAACAGAGACCACAACAAAAGAAAGUACCACCCCUGGCAUUAUACAUUCAGAAAGUACAACAACGGAAAUCACAACUGUAGAAAGCACCACAACAGACACUACAACAACAGAAAGCACGACCACAGGCACUACAACAGCAGAAAGCACCACUAGAGGUACCACAACAACAGAAAGCACUACAACAGGAAGUACCACCACUGGUAUUACAACUUUAGAAAGCACCACAACCGAGACCACUACAGACACUACCACACCAGAAAGCACCACUACAGGCAGCACAACAGCCGAGACCACAACAGACACUACAACAACAGAAAGCACUACCACAGGUAUGACAACAUCAGAAAGCACCACAACCGAGACCACUACAGACACUACAACACCAGAAAGUACCACUACAGGUACCACAACACCAGAAAGCACAACAACCGAAACCACAACAGAGACCACAACACCAGAAAGCAUCACAACAGACACUUCAACAGCAGAAAGCACAACAACCGAGACCACAACAGACACUACAACACCAAAAAGCACCACCACAGGUACCAUAACACCAGAAAGCACCACAACAGACACUACAACAACACAAAGCACCACCUCAGGUACCACAACUACUGAAAGCACCACAGUGACAGAAAGUACAACCACUGGCACAACCACUCCAGAAAGUACAACAACAGAAAGCACCACCAGAACUUCAGAAAGUACAACAUUGGAAACCACAACUACUGAAAGCACCACCUCAGGUACCACAACAACAGAAAGCACCACAACUGAGAGAACAACAGAAAUUCCCACAAUAGGUUAAUAGAUUUAAUGUCUUUUUAAAGUAUUUUCUGUAUACAGUGGCUCUAGAUAAAAUUCAAAUAAGAUCCAUAUCUAAUAAAUUGCCCUGAAGGAAUAAAUGCA
ensembl:lncRNA